AGGAAAUUUCUGGUGGGCCUUCGCGGCUCCGCUGGGUUGGCAGCCGCUUGAGCCACUGCGAGGAAAGCAAAGUCUGGGCCAUGGAGAUGAGCCUAGUCCUGCUGUUCCUGAUCCGCACUGCCCUUUUUGCACCCCAGGGAGCUGCUGCUGAUGGUGCCAAGAACGAAGAAGGAAGCUCCUGCCCCUCCUAAAGCCGAAGCCAAAGCGAAGGCUUUGCAAGGCCAAGAAGGCAGUGUUGAAAGAUGUCCACAGCCACAAAAAAAACAAGAUCCACAUGUCACCCACCUUCCGGCGGCCCAAGACACUGUGACUCCGGAGGCAGCCCAAAUAUCCUUGGAAGAGCACCCCCAGGAGAAAUAAGCUUGACCACCAUGUUAUCAUCAAGUUUCCGCUGACCACUGAGUAGGCUGUGAAGAAGAUAGAAAACAACAGCCUACUUGUGUUCACUGUGGAUGUUAAAGCCAACAAGCACCAGAUCAAACAGGCUGUGAAGAAGUUUGUGACAUUGAUGUGGCCAAAGUCAACACUCUGAUUCAGUCUGAUGGAGAGAGGAAGGCAUAUGUUCGACUGGCUCCUGACUACGAUGCUUUGGUUGUUGCCACCAAAAUUGGGAUCACCUAAACUGAGUCAAGCUGGCUAGUUCCAAAUAUAUGUAUAUCUUUUCACCAUUAAAAGAAUCUUAAUCUCUCAAAAAAAAA
rnacentral:lncRNA from 1 species